rnacentral:lncRNA from 1 species
GGCCAAGACUUUAUCACGCUACUCAGAAUGGAGUGCAAUUUAAAACUCAUGAAUUGUUUAUUUUUGUAAUUUUCUGUUUAAGAUUUUUGAGCUGAGAUUGACCAUGGACAACUGUCCCACAGAAACUGAAACAGUGGAUAAGGGGUACUACUAUAUCGUUAGGAUAAUAAAGUAGACUACAAAAUAGUUCCAUCAGUAUAACUGCAACUUAAACAAAUACUACACAGAGAGGGGAGAAAAGACUAGAAGAUCCAGCAAGGAGCCUCCCAGAUGGAGUACAUGGAGACCGUGACUGUGAAAGAUGAGGAUCAAGUGCAGAUUUGGUGGCCUCUGAUUGCCAGUAUCUGGCAGCCACAUUCUCUUCCCACAAGAUGUGCUGGAAAUAUGACCAAGCAGAAGUUCACUUAAGUGAAUCCAACAGUUAAACCUACCAUGGAAGGGUGUGGUGCACAGAGGGCAUGUGGAGAAGAGAAGACCACAGUGGGAACCUCCAAGGAACUAACAUCUAGCUGGGGAUGAGGGGGGAUUUGGCUAUGUAGACA